rnacentral:rRNA from 1 species
UAGGGAAUAUUGGACAAUGGGCGCAAGCCUGAUCCAGCAAUGCCGCGUGAGUGAUGAAGGCCUUAGGGUUGUAAAGCUCUUUUACCCGAGAUGAUAAUGACAGUAUCGGGAGAAUAAGCCCCGGCUAACUCCGUGCCAGCAGCCGCGGUAAUACGGAGGGGGCUAGCGUUGUUCGGAAUUACUGGGCGUAAAGCGCACGUAGGCGGCGAUUUAAGUCAGGGGUGAAAGCCCAGUGCUCAACACUGGAACUGCCCUUGAGACUGGAUUGCUUGAAUCCGGGAGAGGUGAGUGGAAUUCCGAGUGUAGAGGUGAAAUUCGUAGAUAUUCGGAAGAACACCAGUGGCGAAGGCGGCUCACUGGACCGGCAUUGACGCUGAGGUGCGAAAGCGUGGGGAGCAAA